GACGAACGCUGGCGGCGUGCUUAACACAUGCAAGUCGAACGAGGCCCUCCUUCGGGAGGUGUGCUAGUGGCGAACGGGUGAGUAACACGUGGGCAUCCUGCCCUCAGCUCUGGGAUAACCCCAAGAAAUUGGGGCUAAUACCGGAUACGACCGCUGACCGCAUGGUCGGUGGUGGAAAGUUUUUCGGCUGAGGAUGGGCCCGCGGCCUAUCAGCUUGUUGGUGGGGUAGUGGCCUACCAAGGCGACGACGGGUAGCCGGCCUGAGAGGGUGACCGGCCACACUGGGACUGAGACACGGCCCAAACUCCUACGGGAGGCAGCAGUGGGGAAUAUUGCGCAAUGGGCGAAAGCCUGACGCAGCGACGCCGCGUGAGGGAUGACGGCCUUCGGGUUGUAAACCUCUUUCAGCAGGGACGAAGCGCAAGUGACGGUACCUGCAGAAGAAGCACCGGCCAACUACGUGCCGGCCGCCGCAGUAAGAC
rnacentral:rRNA from 1 species